UACAGAGGUCUCAAGCGUUUGUUCGGAUUCAUUGGGCGUAAAGGGUGCGUAGGCGGCGCGGUAAGUCGGGGUGUGAAAUCUCGGAGCUUAACUCCGAAACUGCAUUCGAUACUGCCGUGCUUGAGGACUGGAGAGGAGACUGGAAUUUACGGUGUAGCGGUGAAAUGCGCAGAUAUCAGGAGGAACACCAAAUGGCGAAGGCAGCUCGCUGGGGACGGUACUGACGCUGAGACGCGAAAGCGUGGGGAGCAAACAGG
rnacentral:rRNA from 1 species